UUCCAUGGGCAGAGGAGCCUGGUGGGCUACAGUCCAUGGAGUUGCAAAGAGUUCAACAUGGCUGAACACACACACACACACACACACACAAGUACACACACACACACACAAACAUUACAUGGUACAUGGGCUUAUUUUGUUUGUGCGCCAGAGGUCUUUACCCCAGCUUCCAAGUUAACAGUUACUACUGCAUCCCCCAACCUGUAAAGGGCACUGGUGAGAAGUCGAUUGUCCCAGAUAGAAGAGGGAGGCUCUUACCUCACUGAUGAUUUUAGCAGAAUUUGUGAGCAUUUGCAUCUUCCUUCAUCAUCUGCUCCGAAAAAUAGAGAUGGCUCAUUCCAGCUGAUCCUGGUGAGAAUGGGGUGGCUCUGGUUAACACAAAUGAUCCUUUUCAGACUGUGCUUCUUGGAGAGGGGAGCAAAGUGCCCACAAGCACUGACAAGAUCCUGCACGAAUAUGUUCCCAUUUCUUGUGCAAACCAAUAAUUUAUUUGUUUUCCAUAGUGAAGCCCAAAGCAUAGAAGGUUCGUAAUUUUCAAAAAUUAUUUAUUAUCAUGAUAACACUUCUCCACAGGCAGCAGAUAGCCCAUUAUUCAGAAUUAUAACCUAUCCUGGUUUUUGAUCCUGCCUGAAUAAUGAAAUUGGAAGAAAUGCAGGAAAUCUGGGUAUUCGUGUUAACUAACCAUACUUCACUCAACAGGAGGCGGGAACCUCACUCAACCAAAGAUUUGUUUAUUUUCUCAAAAAGGCAUAUUUUGUGCUCAGGGCCUCUGGUUUUUAACUUUCCAACACCAGUGAAGAGUCAUUGAGUAAUUUUUAACUGCAGGAUGCAUCUCUUUCCCCAGAUAUUCCCCACCCACUGCAACAUAUUUCAGUUUAAAUGGCCUGUUCUUUUUCUUCUUAGAGCUGUGUCUCUGCAUGGGUGAGAACUACAAAACCGGUCAGGAGGAAUUUGAUAUGCCAAGUGGGUCAGCUCAUUAUAACUUCUAGGAAACCACAAGAUAAUUGUAGGGCUCUUGCUGGUAGGCUCCUCAGCACUGUGUUAAGCAUUUUUAUACUCUUCUCUGCUCUACUUGCAAGAGCUGCUUCUCUUUACGGUCCCUUUUAUAGGACAUCGGAAUAAAGGUGGUUGACAUGUAUUUUCAAGGCAGAAUUUUCCAGGCAGUGUCCAGGGCUUAUCUGGUAACUGACCUUAGCGUUUUAAAACAGCAAAAAUAAAAUAUGUGACUCAAUCCCCAUAGUAAGUAGGAAGUAAAUUUUGAAUAGUCAGCUUCAAAUCAUCAGAAUGCCUCUGAUGAUAAAGAGUGAGUUUUUCACUAAAUAAUAGCCUAUUGAUGGAUUCACUCACUAUGAAAUGGUCAGAAUUGACCAACUGAAAUACCUUUUGCUCUUUAUCCCUGUGCUCAGAUUUGUGCCUUCAUUUUUUUCUCCCUCCUUUUCCUCAUUUUUAUCAUAAUUAAUAAUUAUUUUUAUCAUAGAAAAAUCUUCCUAUUUUUAUCAUCAAAAAUAUUUUUUAUUAUUAUAAUAACAGGCGGCAUUGAUAUAGCAUUUACAAUAUGCUUGGGACUCCUCCUGGCACUUUUUAGGCAAUUUAGUUAAGGGAAACAAAUGAAGUAGAUUUAAAUAUUCUCUCUGUCUUACAGUUAAGGCAUGUGAAGCCCAGAGAGGUUAACUCACUUACCUAAGGUCACACAGCUAAUCAAUGGCAUAUUGAGUCUAUGUAGGCAAGUGGUCUGUCUUAAGAGUCUAUGCUUUUAAUCAGUAAGCUGUGCUACUUCUUAGUAUAAAUGCAGUAAGCAGAGAUAAUAAUAAUAUAAUAACAAUGAAUAAUAACAGUAGUAGUAAACAUGACUUAAUAUUUCCUAUGCAUCAGGUACUGUGGCACACGCUUUAAAUCACUCUCAUUAAUCUUCCCAGUAAUUUCAUUAGUUAGUAUCCCUUACUUCGCAUAUUUAGAAACUGACGUAGUUUCUAAACUUGCCCCGUUACACAUAUAGUAAGUAGCAGAGCCACUUAUUAUUGUUGAGAUCAAUCCUGGAGGGCUUCAGGACAUUUCAAGGCCACAGUAAAUCUCUGUGAGGGAGCAGAAGGUGGCGUGGGGAGUUGGAGGAGGUUUGAGAUGGUGGGUCUUUCCGACGAGUCUAUAGUCAGCGAAUCCAUUUCUUGUCUGUUAUCUGUUCUGCUCCAUGAACAUAGCCCCUCACUCUCAGUUCCCGGCUUGAUGGCCUUGAUGAGAAGAGUGAAUGUGGAAUGGCACAGAGGCAUUGCCACAGCUAGCUCUCUUGCCUAAAGUGAUGCCUUGUAACCCGGUAAUGCCUGCCGCGUGCCCAGAAGCCAGGCCUGUGGGCAUCCUGACCUCCUUUGCCCCUCAGGAAGUGGCCAUGUGGGUCCUGAGACUGCUCUGUUCACGAUGAGCAUGAAACUGCGCCACCGUCUCCUCCUUGGUGGCUCAGUUCUUGCCAUCCCUCUCCUGUCGCUUUGAGAAGUUCAGUGUCCUCCUCCUUGAAAGGUCUUACUGGAACAAAGAUGUCUAUGGCUCUCCCUGUCCCUCUGGCCUUAGCCGCCACAAGCCAAAUUGGGGGCUGAGUACCCUUGGAGUCAGGCUCCAAGAUUCAUUACUCAGAAAAAGUUCUGCUUUGUGUGAACUUGGUCAAGUCUAGAACAGCCACAGAACAUAAACUUCAAAAGUUUCAACUGGCUCCAUUCUAUUGGAGUUAAAGAAGCAACUCAAUAACCAUUUAUUGCAAAUUUUAACCAUAUUUUCCCUUAAGAUUUAUCAACACCUUUCUCUGGAUGGUGGGGUUUUGAGUGUGGCCCUUUUGUUUUAGUGUGCAAAAAUGGAAUGCACACAGGGGUGGCACUCAUCAGAAUGAAGUCAGAAAAAUGGAAGAUUCCAGUGUUUUUAUGCCGGUUCAUUCUUGCUCUCUAUCUGUGUAUACGUGCAUGUGUGUGUCUGCCCGUGUCUGAGUCUGUGACACGUGGUCAGCAGUGUCUUUUGGAGGCUGGCCUCCUUCUCUGUCAUCUCUAGGAGCGUCUCCACAAGGGACAACCCCCUUGAAGUAUUUCUGUGUCUUUCUCCUUGUUUCCCACUGUUUGCUUUCCAUUCCCCCAUCACAUGUUAAUGGCUCACAUCAUCUUCCCUUUUCAUCACCCGAAAAACAAAAUCUCACUUGGCUUCUUCUCUGAUUUCAGCCUGUCACUUGAUGAGGUCCCUGCUAUUUAUAUUUUUGUUUGUAGGAGGGAGCGGGGAACGUAUAAAUAAAGCCCAGGCAAACCCAACCGCCCGGCUGGAUACGAAGGGACUCCCUCAUCUCAUGGCAGCAGGGCUGCCUAACUGGUAGUUAAGCAGGGCCCAAGAGGUCCACACUGUGAAUGCCGUUGAAAGGGUUACUGGGAAAUGCAAACAAAAACAACAUGCAAAUGAGGCUGCCAGCAACAGGUAGACUUAAUCAGAUGCUGUCAGAUGAAUUCAGCAUCUCCCCGAUUGUCGCCUCUCUUUGCCUCCCAUUCGGAAGCCCUCAUCUGCUCCAGAUGUGGUUUAAUUUACUGCGACUUGGCUAAUUACUGUAAUUAAGGAUUAAUUACUGUUAAUUACUUUCACAUAAACUCAACGCCAGUCAAAGAGCGGAGCCUUAUGAAGUCUGCCACCGAAGUGAGCACGGCUCGGCGGCCUGUGUGAGCUCUGCAGGUCUCUGUGUAUUGCCUGGGCCCCUGCUGCCACAAAUCUGCCUGACCUUCCAGCAUCACCAGCGGGAUGCGAGGGCCAAAAGUGCAGGAAGGGUCAGCGCUCCAACCCGCACAGGGCAUCAACUACCAGGACCCUUAGAUACUGGUGUUUCCCUCAAGUUCUGAUCUCACAUGGGCUAUGAAAGGAUCUCAUUCUACAUACAUCCUGAUUCCAUCCAUCUCAGGAUGUCUGUGACUCAUCCUCCAGACUGAGAACUCCUUGAUGCCAAGUUGUGUGUUUCAUUCAUUGUUCUGUCCCACAGAGAUGUAGUGGUACCGUCAACAUGAUGUUGUUCCUGUUUUUUGGACCGUGCAACCCUGAGCCAUACGCAUCUUUUGAUAUCCACCAGUGCAACUUUCAAGGAUCUUUCUUGUUUCCUGUUCCACCUUUACCACUGCAAAGGAGAAUUUUUCUGUUGGGGUGAGGCAGGUCUUUGAAUUUGUCAUUCAAGAAAAUCCUAGGACUAGAUUGUUUCAAAGUGGGGUCGGAAAAGGGUCUUUUUGAUUGUGAAAUUCCAAAAGAUAUAUCACUGAUGCAGAAAAAGAAUGCUGGAAUACUUUGUGAUAUGUUUUUAUUCUCUGUAUUAUCAUCUCUAUAAAAAGUAAGCUGCCUGGACGUAAGUAGGGUUGUCUUCAUAUUGACAAAAGGAUACUGCUCAAGUGAAAAGGAAACCUUAAUUGAGGGAAAAAGAAACAUUGAAAUGAUUUUUUUACUAUUGCCAAUUAAAUUAUUCAGUAAAUUGAAAAAUAGUUUUUAUAUUUGAAUCAAUUAUAAGUAAGAUUUUAACUUUUAUUAAAUAUUUUAAAAUCUUAAACUAAACCGGCUGAUCAAUUAAAGAAAAAUGUUUCAUAAAAUUAAACUGUGUUUUUUUUUAAAUAGACCUGUUUUGUGUUUGUUUCUAUGUCACAGAAAUAUGCUAUUAAUUUUUUUCUUUAGUUGACUAGAGUGCAAAUGGGUUAUUGGUAUUACUCAUACCCAUGCAGGUAUUCACUUACUCUGUGUUACUGUGUUAUGUAAGUGUAGAUUCAUUUUGUAUGUGUACUGUAUUAUAUUUUGUACAUGCUUGUAUUUUUCACUACAUGUUUGCACUUUGUGAUUUGAAUGGAUGUUCAGAUAUAUGUGAUUUCAGUGGGAGUACACUUUAUAUACGGAGGAAAGACACUUUAUAUACAGAGCAAAGACAUCAAGACUGUAUGUUUUGAAGUUACCUGCUUUCUUGUUUUCCCCUGGAAUUUUAUGUUAAGGAAUAUGUUUCUGAAAGUCUAGAUUCCCAGUGAUGGUUUAAAGGAAGUGUUUCUUGUAUACCAGGAACCAGAAUCAACUUCAAUGGACAAUUCAUUUGCAAGUGUAAAAUAACAGAAAAUAUCAAACUACACUGCAAAAUUAUUUAACUGCAUUCUAGUAUUUCUUGACUGAAUAAUCAACUGCACGACUUGAAUUUCUCCUUCCAAGUGAUUUGUAAGCCAUCACCGUCAGAUAAUGUGUUUGUCAUGGCUAUGUACUAACUCUUAAAAUCAGGUAUUGGGUAUUUUUUUCCUCAUUGUAUAAAAUGGCUAUAACAUAAAUGGCUCACGUAACGUACUGUUUGAAUGCCUGUUGUAUGUCACACACAGGACCAAGCCCUGGGGAUAACAUGGUAUUAAAUUAUCUGUAGUGAUGAAUUACAGUGCGAUAAAAUUAAUAAUAACCAUUACCACGAGAAACAAAUAUAGUUUGACAUAUUGAACACUUUUUUGUCCUGUGGUGGUAUGCAUUUACUUAAAUGUCUGGAUAGCAUGUAAGGAGCUAGGAAUGGAAAGAUGAUACUAUGAUAGAACUGUGAUCUGGAGGGGGACUAGUUAUAUAAUUUUUCUGCCAAUGCCGUCAGGUAUUUCGGGAAUAUCUCUGAAAUAAGGAAAUGUGGAAUAAAGAGAUAAUAUUGUGACAUCAUUUUCCAAACUAGAGAGCAAGAACUGUAGUUAUUAGGUGAGAAGGGAAACAGAACAUUUCAGAUUUUUCUAUAAUUCAUUGAUGCUACUAUAAAAAUAUACAUCUUCAGGUAAAGUUCACUGUAAAUGUUUAAUUAGAUUAUAUAUUAUGCAGUUAUUUAUGUUAUAUUGCAUAAGCUACAUAUCCACUGUAGCUUUGGCUCAUCUCUAAUCAAAUUACAAUAUAUAUUCCAAAGUAUCUGCAGCACCACAGUCAUUUGAAACAAAUAUAUAUCGCUUUUGUAAAAUGAAUUGUUUAGAUAUAAGUAUUCAUUCAACAUUUAGUACAAAAGAAUGUAUUGAAUGGAUAGAGAGACCCAAAGUAAGCAUACAUAGAUAUGCAUAGUCUAGAUAGAAUGAGACUAAUUUGUGUACAUUGUCCACAUAUAGAAUAUGUACGUUUUUAUACUUGAGCAGUUUUUUUGGUAAAUAUUAAAGAUUCAUAUGUGGUUAUGUGUGGGCUUGUAUCCCCAUGGGCUGAUUCAGGGACUUGUGUAUAGGAGCAUCUCCUUACUGAUAGUAGCAACAAAGCUGAAAAGAAAGCAAUUGAGAGAGCAAGGGAGAAGGGAAGAGAACAGCCGUGAUUAAGUCGGCAUUGUUCUAUACGAUCGCCGGCUGCCUGCUAUUGUUUUCCAGCAUUUGAAGAUGAAACAUAUUCAUUUAGCUUUCAGAACGGAUGGCUUUAAUAAGGGCAGAGCAGAGAGGUGGGGUAACACUGAUGACUAGAGAGACCCAUCAAGGCUCCCCCUAAGGCCAUUCCGUCAGAGCCGGGGACCACAUGACCAUUAACUCUGCAAUCAGGACAAGUUUUCAACAUUCCGGGGUAUCCUUCAAUGGCAAAAAGAGUCGUUUGGAGUCAAGGGAAGAUGUAUAUCAGCAGUAAUUGGAUUCUGGCCAAAGCUCUUAGGACGGUAUUAUCUUUGGUGAGGGAAUUGGGAGGGGCUGGGCUGAGCCAAGCGGGUGUGAUCCCAGCCAGAGUCAAGAGAGCAGCAGCCACGAGGCCUCAAGCUGGGGGUGUCCCGGCACACCGAGCUGCUGGUUUGCCCAGGAGUCAGUAGGGCCUGUCUGUGGGUGUAAGUGAUCCUCUUUCCCCGGCAGAAAAAGGUUUCUGAAUAUCCCAAGGGAUGAAACUUUGGGCUCCCAAGGAUGAGGCCACCCUGGUUGCACUUGACUAGACAAAGCUAUUUAAGGCCUGAAAGUGCCCCACGCACCCUCUCCCCACUGCUGCCCCCUCCCCUCUCUUCACCCUGACUACUUCAUUACAAUCUGCCUUCAGGCCGGAAUUGCCCUGCUUAAGCCUCAAAUCAUUAUAAUUACCAUUAUUAGAAAUAGCUGCAGGGGAGGCAUUGGAACACCAAGUAAAAAUGUGUGAGUGUGUCCGCCGGCCCUGGAAUCACUCCUUUUGAGCUCAGGGGACCACAAGGCAUGAAGGUUCCACCAAAGCCAGCUAAUGCGAUGGCUGUCAGCUCUACUCACCCCACCUGUCAAGAGGGGGAUGCAGUGGGGUUCAUUUUUUUAAUUGACACCUUCCUCUCUCAUUCCACGCUCUCUAGUCUCAACCUAAUUCCUCCUUUCAUCUUCCUUCUUUGAGAAAAUCCAUUCCUUUGCUCUCCAAAUAAAGAAAAGGGGAAAAAACCACACAAGGAACAGUGAGAUACACAUUAUCCUCCAGGGGGAAAAAAAAAAAACAAAACACAACACAUAGAUUUUAACAAAGGUGCAAA